CGCGAUCCCUGACCCAACCCGAGCCAGAGUGAACCCCACCCCGAAUCAUCCCGAGCCUUUCCCUCGCCGCCACCACACCUCAUCCCGCUCGCCGCCGACAUCUCCCCUCACCUCGCUCGUCGCCGCCCCUCACCCUGCUCUCUGUCGCCGCCUCACCUCACCCUGAUCUCCGCUGCUGGGGGCGGCGGAGCGACAAAGCGGCUCAAUGCAGAUGGGCGGCGGCGGCUGGAGUUGAAGGGGUCGGAUCCAUCCGUGGCAGGUGCUCGGGAGACGGAUCCAGAGGUGGGCGGCGAGACGGGAGUCACCGAUGAUGACGAGGAAGGCUGGAGCGCGACUUCCCGGGCGCAUCCAUGGCAUCCGCGGCUCCUAGGCAGAGAGGUGACAGGGAGGUGAGGGAGAGAAGAAGGGAGAAAGGAGGGACGAUGUGGCAACGUACCUCGCGGUAGCGCCCAUUACGUCGAGACGGCGUGGCCCCACGAGCUGCUACUCUGCCGUUCCCCUCCCCCUCCUCGCCGGCGGCUCUUCCUUCGUUGAAGCGUCCAGUAUGGCGAGACACCGGGGCUGCAUGGGCACCGCCAGGUCAACGGCUAAUACGGCGAGGCAGCGCGAGAUCCAGGGGCGACACCGGCCAAUACGGCGACUCGGCGAGGCGCUGGAUGUGUGGCGGCUGUACGUCCUCCUUUCCGGGCUCGACCUCCUGCCCGCGGUGCCCCCCACCCGCAUCACCAAGCAUCCCAACGGCGUCCACGUAUUUCCCGGUACCACCCACCUCCCCCUCCCCUGUUGCUUCACAUGAGUCCAUAGCUGACGGCGUCCGCCAUCUCCAAGCUCACGUAUGCAGGAAAUUCGCCGCCAUCCUGCAGCAAUCACAGCCCGCAAAGGCCCCGCUGGAGAGGAUGAUCGUCAAGAGGCUUGAGUUCAACAUGUCUGUUCCUAAUCCAUACUGCUUCAUGAGAAGGUUCCUCAAAGGCAACAGGGUCUGACAAGAAGCUGGAGCUGCUCUCCUUCUUCUUGAUUGAGCUGACGGCGUCCGCCGUCUCCAAGCUCAUGAAUACCCCGAUUUGACAGGGAGCAGCACAUGGAUGUUGAUUUUGUUAGCUAUGUUCUUAUUGAAGCCAACAUGGCUAUGUAGUUCUCGUCACGCACAAUUUGCUUGUUUUCAGCAUCAGCGGGAAGAAGAUGAUUUUUAACUUUUUUGAAAUGACUAAUUCAGUGAGGAUGCUAGACAACAAAAUAGAAGGAAUGUGGAUCUCAAAACUGAAGAAAAGCAGGAGACCUUGAUGGCUCUGUCAUCAGGAAAGAAGCGAUGAAGAUUCAGAAAAAAUGAUUUUUUUACAGCAACACAUCCGCUUGAGUGUUGCUGUAAAAAAAUCAUUUCGCUAAUUCAGUGAACAUUGUUUUGUUUUUCUGUAGCAAGUUAUUCUACGAAUUCUGAACACUAAGCAAGGAAAUCUGCACCUGCCAUUGUUCUCAGAAUGAGCUAAUUCUCUGAAAAUGAGUUUUGCUUUUUUUGUAUGAAUUCUGAAUAUUGUUCAAAGAAAACAGCAGCACCCAUUAUUCAACAUCAGUUUAGCCCCUUUUAACAGAAAGGAACAACUCUUUUUCUCGCUACUUCUAACUUUGUAUUGUGUUUUUUUGUGUAGGGAGGAGAAAUUGAUUCUCACACCACAAAAACAACAGAACAACACGGAUGUUAUUCAGGUUGACAUACCUUCAUAGACAAUCUAACCUCUACAAGGAUGAGUAAGAGAUGAAAAACAUCAAUUGAAAGCACCGCAAAGGCAGUCUUUCACACUAAAACAACAACGCAUGCCAUGCUUUUGUCCACUGUUCUUCGUGCUGAGAGUCGGUGGACGGGCGCUGGAGGGGGUCGGCGGUGCGGCAGGGGCGCAGUGGUGCGAGGGCGUUGGCCUCCGCUUGAACUAGUAAACUUACCAAAGCCUCUUUAUUGUUUUGUUGCUGACUCCUGUUUUGGAUCUGAAUGUGUAAAACAAGCAAACAUAACAUUAAGUCUAAUCUGGGAUUUGUAAGCCA